GGCUCAAAGCUCUCCCAGCCAUCAACUAAAAUUGGAACGAUACAGAGAAGAUUAACAUGGCCCCUGCGCAAGGAUGACACGCAAAUUCGUGAAGCGUUCCUCAUUUUC
rnacentral:snRNA from 1 species